rnacentral:rRNA from 1 species
UACAGAGGUCCCAAGCGUUUGUUCGGAUUCACUGGGCGUAAAGGGUGCGUAGGCGGUCGGGUAAGUCUGAUGUGAAAUCUCACAGCUUAACUGUGAAACUGCAUUGGAUACUAUCCGGCUCGAGGAAUGGAGGGGAGACUGGAAUACUUGGUGUAGCAGUGAAAUGCGUAGAUAUCAGGAAGAACACCCGUGGCGAAGGCGGCUCUCUGGAACGCAACUGACGCUGAGACGCGAAAGCGUGGGGAGCAAACAGG